rnacentral:rRNA from 1 species
UUGUUGGUAAGGUAAAAGCUUACCAAGGCUUCGAUCAGUAGCUGGUCUGAGAGGACGACCAGCCACACUGGGACUGAGACACGGCCCAGACUCCUACGGGAGGCAGCAGUGGGGAAUUUUGGACAAUGGGGGCAACCCUGAUCCAGCCAUGCCGCGUGAGUGAAGAAGGCCUUCGGGUUGUAAAGCUCUUUCAGCCGGAACGAAACGGUUACGGUUAACACCCGUGACUACUGACGGUACCGGAAGAAGAAGCACCGGCUAACUACGUGCCAGCAGCCGCGGUAAUACGUAGGGUGCGAGCGUUAAUCGGAAUUACUGGGCGUAAAGCGUGCGCAGGUGGUUUUGUAAGUCAGAUGUGAAAUCCCCGGGCUCAACCUGGGAACUGCGUUUGAAACUACAAGACUAGAGUGUGGCAGAGGGGGGUGGAAUUCCGCGUGUAGCAGUGAAAUGCGUAGAGAUGUGGAGGAACACCGAUGGCGAAGGCAGCCCCCUGGGUCAACACUGACGCUCAGGCACGAAAGCAUGGGGAGCAAACAGGAUUAGAUACCCUGGUAGUCCAUGCCCUAAACGAUGUCAACUAGUUGUCGGGCCUUUACGGGCUUGGUAACGUAGCUAACGCGUGAAGUUGACCGCCUGGGGAGUACGAUCGCAAGAUUAAAACUCAAAUGAGUUGACGGGGACCCGCACAAGCGGUGGAUUAUGUGGAUUAAUUCGAUGCAACGCGAAAAACCUUACCUACCCUUGACAUGUAUCGAAGCCCGCAGAAAAGCGGGGGUGCCCGAAAGGGAACGAUAACACAGGUGCUGCAUGGCUGUCGUCAGCUCGUGUCGUGAGAUGUUGGGUUAAGUCCCGCAACGAGCGCAACCCUUGUCAUUAAUUGCCAUCAUUUAGUUGGGCACUUUAAUGAGACUGCCGG